CCGGGGGUAGAGCACUGUUUCGGCAAGGGGGUCAUCCCGACUUACCAACCCGAUGCAAACUGCGAAUACCGGAGAAUGUUAUCACGGGAGACACACGGCGGGUGCUAACGUCCGUCGUGAAGAGGGAAACAACCCAGACCGCCAGCUAAGGUCCCAAAGUCAUGGUUAAGUGGGAAACGAUGUGGGAAGGCCCAGACAGCCAGGAUGUUGGCUUAGAAGCAGCCAUCAUUUAAAGAAAGCGUAAUAGCUCACUGGUCGAGUCGGCCUGCGCGGAAGAUGUAACGGGGCUAAACCAUGCACCGAAGCUGCGGCAGCGACGCUUAUGCGUUGUUGGGUAGGGGAGCGUUCUGUAAGCCUGCGAAGGUGUGCUGUGAGGCAUGCUGGAGGUAUCAGAAGUGCGAAUGCUGACAUAAGUAACGAUAAAGCGGGUGAAAAGCCCGCUCGCCGGAAGACCAAGGGUUCCUGUCCAACGUUAAUCGGGGCAGGGUGAGUCGACCCCUAAGGCGAGGCCGAAAGGCGUAGUCGAUGGGAAACAGGUUAAUAUUCCUGUACUUGGUGUUACUGCGAAGGGGGGACGGAGAAGGCUAUGUUGGCCGGGCGACGGUUGUCCCGGUUUAAGCGUGUAGGCUGGUUUUCCAGGCAAAUCCGGAAAAUCAAGGCUGAGGCGUGAUGACGAGGCACUACGGUGCUGAAGCAACAAAUGCCCUGCUUCCAGGAAAAGCCUCUAAGCAUCAGGUAACAUCAAAUCGUACCCCAAACCGACACAGGUGGUCAGGUAGAGAAUACCAAGGCGCUUGAGAGAACUCGGGUGAAGGAACUAGGCAAAAUGGUGCCGUAACUUCGGGAGAAGGCACG
rnacentral:rRNA from 1 species